rnacentral:rRNA from 1 species
AAAGCUCAAAUUUUGAAUCUGGUGUCUUUGGCGCCCGAGUUGUAAUCUAGAGAAGUGUUUUCCGCUUUGGACCGUGUACAAGUUCCCUGGAACGGGGCGUCAUAGAGGGUGAGAAUCCCGUAUAUGGCACGGACUACCAAUGCUCUGUGAUACACUCUCAACGAGUCGAGUUGUUUGGGAAUGCAGCUCAAAAUGGGUGGUAAAUUCCAUCUAAAGCUAAAUAUUGGCGAGAGACCGAUAGCGAA